GAUAAGCGCUGAAAGCAUCUAAGCGCGAAGCCCCCCUCAAGAUGAGAUUUCCCAAUUCGUAAGACCCCUGGAAGACGACCAGGUUGAUAGGCUCGAGGUGGAAGCGCAGCAAUGCGUGCAGCUGACGAGUACUAAUAGGUCGAGGGCUUAUCCUAAG
rnacentral:rRNA from 1 species